rnacentral:tRNA from 1 species
CUAAGGAUGUAGCCCAGAGGCAGGGUGCUUCCCUAGCAUGUAUGAGGUCCUGGGUUCAAUCCUCAAUACUAAAA